UACGGAGGGUGCAAGCGUUAUCCGGAUUUACUGGGUUUAAAGGGUGUGCAGGCGGAUAUGUAAGUCAGUGGUGAAAUCUCUAGGCUUAACCUGGAAAUUGCCGUUGAUACUAUAUAUCUUGAAUGUUGUGGAGGUAAGCAGAAUAUGUCAUGUAGCGGUGAAAUGCUUAGAUAUGACAUAGAAUACCUAUUGCGAAGGCAGCUUACUACGCAGAUAUUGACGCUCAUGCACGAAAGCGUGGGGAUCAAACAGGA
rnacentral:rRNA from 1 species